AUUGAACGCUGGCGGCAGGCCUAACACAUGCAAGUCGAGCGGAUGAAGGGAGCUUGCUCCUGGAUUCAGCGGCGGACGGGUGAGUAAUGCCUAGGAAUCUGCCUGGUAGUGGGGGAUAACGUCCGGAAACGGGCGCUAAUACCGCAUACGUCCUGAGGGAGAAAGUGGGGGAUCUUCGGACCUCACGCUAUCAGAUGAGCCUAGGUCGGAUUAGCUAGUUGGUGAGGUAAAGGCUUACCAAGGCGACGAUCCGUAACUGGUCUGAGAGGAUGAUCAGUCACACUGGAACUGAGACACGGUCCAGACUCCUACGGGAGGCAGCAGUGGGGAAUAUUGCACAAUGGGCGAAAGCCUGAUCCAGCCAUGCCGCGUGUGUGAAGAAGGUCUUCGGAUUGUAAAGCACUUUAAGUUGGGAGGAAGGGCAGUAAGUUAAUACCUUGCUGUUUUGACGUUACCAACAGAAUAAGCACCGGCUAACUUCGUG
rnacentral:rRNA from 1 species